rnacentral:tRNA from 2 species
CGGGAAAUGGCUCAAUUUGGUAGAGCACUUGGUUUGGGACCAAGGGGUUGCAGGUUCAAAUCCUGUUUUCCCGACCA